CCUACGGGUGGCAGCAGUGGGGAAUUUUGGACAAUGGGCGCAAGCCUGAUCCAGCUAUUCCGCGUGUGGGAAGACGGCCUUCGGGUUGUAAUCCACUUUUGUAGAGAACGAAAAGUCUGUUGAUAAUACCGAUAGAUGAUGACGGUACUCUAAGGAUAAGCACCGGCUAACUACGUGCCAGCAGCCGCGGUAAUACGUAAGGUGCGAGCGUUAAUCGGAAUUACUGGGCGUAAAGGGUGUGCAGGCGGUUUUGCAAGAUUGAUGUGAAAGCCCCGGGCUUAACCUGGGAAAGCCAUACAUGACGGGAAGACUAGAGUGCGGCAGAGGGAGGUGGAAUUCCAAGGGU
rnacentral:rRNA from 1 species